AGUGAACGCUGGCGGUAGGCCUAACACAUGCAAGUCGAACGGCAGCACAGUAAGAGCUUGCUCUUACGGGUGGCGAGUGGCGGACGGGUGAGGAAUACAUCGGAAUCUACUUUUUCGUGGGGGAUAACGUAGGGAAACUUACGCUAAUACCGCAUACGACCUACGGGUGAAAGCAGGGGAUCUUCGGACCUUGCGCGAUUGAAUGCGCCGAUGUCGGAUUAGCUAGUUGGCGGGGUAAAGGCCCACCAAGGCGACGAUCCGUAGCUGGUCUGAGAGGAUGAUCAGCCACACUGGAACUGGGACACGGUCCAGACUACUAAGGGAGGCAGCAGAGGGGAAUAUUGGACAAUGGGCGCAAGCAUGAUCCAGCCAUACCGCGUGGGUGAAGAAGGCCUUCGGGUUGUAAAGCCCUUUUGUUGGGAAAGAAAAGCAGCAGGUUAAUACCCCGCUGUUCUGACGGUACCCAAAGAAUAAGCAUCGGCUAACUUCGUG
rnacentral:rRNA from 1 species